CAGGCUGACUAGAACCAAAGCUUUAGUGAGAGUCGUCCUAAUAGGGCAUCAAAGCUUUUAUUGCUGCAAAAGGUGUCUCUACAGAAAGGGGAAACUACUGUACCCCUGAAAAUACCUCAUAUGAGUCUCUGCGCUCACACACAAACCAAGAGCUCACACACACACAUGCUAGGUUACGCCAGCCAAUGGGCAGAACCGAGUCACUCUUCUUCCUGUUUUAGUGAGAACCUGUGUGUGAUUUCCUGUCAGGUGAUCAGGAAGUUAAACAUCAUAACAGAGUGCCACAUAAAUAUCAGUUCAGUCAGAAAUGAUCUCUUAGUUAGAUGUUCAUUCCAAACCUACUGGUUUCCUUUUACACAAGGCUGCCGGCUCGUGAUGUUUCUGAACAAAAUUGUCAGAGAAAAGGUCCGUUCCCUCGGCGUGCUGGAGGCAUUGGCAGGGGACCUGGCUGGUGAGACAACUCCUCAAAGAACAAAUCCCUCGCAGAAAUCAGCCUCCGCAAUGUACAAGGCACUACAGAAACCACCAGCGGAAUGACUAUUGGAAGGCAGCGGGGAAACUUAAGAUUUGAAUUAUUUGACUUCCACCUCUGCCCCUAUUUCAGUCUUCAUACGAGGGUCUUUGCACCAAAAAAGUGAGCGAGUGUCAGUUGCAGAGAUUGCCCAGUGGGUUCCAUUGAGAGGCACCGCCAUUGGUAUCCAGGACCGGAGAAGCAGGCAACGCACAUAUGUGUUUUCAUUGAUGCAAGAUCCUGACGACGGUCCCUCGUGAAUCGAAACGAGUCGAUGUCCGGUAUUGCUGUGAUGUAGUAAAAAGUUAUUUGAAUUGAA